CUAACAAUUCUUCCGUGUAGCUCCUUACAUUCCCCUGCUCUGUGUUCCACACUUGUGUAGUCUCUAAUGAUUCUUCCAUGUAGCUUCUUACAUUCUCCCACUCUGUGUUCUGCACUCACAUAGUCUCUAACAAUUCUUCUGCGUAGCCCUCAAUGAUUCCCCCACCCCAUGUUCCAUGCUUGUGUAGCCUCUAACAAUUCUUAUGUGUACC
rnacentral:sRNA from 1 species